rnacentral:rRNA from 1 species
GACAGAGGGGGCAAGCGUUGUCCGGAUUAACUGGGCGUACAGCGCGCGCAGGCGGCCGGCUACAUGCCUUGUGACAGGCGGGGGCUCAACCCCCGACGGCCAGGGUACACGGGCUGGCUCGAGGCAGAGAGAGGGCAGUGGAAUACCCGGUGGAGCGGUGAAAUGCGUAGAGAUCGGGUGGAACACCAGGGGCGAAGGCGGCUGCCUGGCUCUGACCUGACGCUGAGGCGGCGAGAGCGUGGGG